UUCCGGUUGAUCCUGCCGGAGGCCAUUGCUAUCGGAGUCCGAUUUAGCCAUGCUAGUUGUACGAGUUUAGACUCGUAGCGUAUAGCUCAGUAACACGUGGCCAAACUACCCUACAGACCGCAAUAACCUCGGGAAACUGAGGCCAAUAGCGGAUAUAACUCUCUUGCUGGAGUGCUGAGAGUUAGAAACGUUCCGGCGCUGUAGGAUGUGGCUGCGGCCGAUUAGGUAGAUGGUGGGGUAAUGGCCCACCAUGCCGAUAAUCGGUACAAGUUGUGAGAGCAAGAGCUUGGAGACGGUAUCUGAGACAAGAUACCGGGCCCUACGGGGCGCAGCAGGCGCGAAACCUUUACACUGCACGACAGUGCGAUAGGGGGACUCCGAGUGUGAGGGCAUAUAGCCCUCGCUUUUCUGCACCGUAAGGUGGUGCAAGAAUAAGGACUGGGCAAGACCGGUGCCAGCCGCCGCGGU
rnacentral:rRNA from 1 species